GUGCCUACUUCGGCAGCAUAUAUACUAAAAUUGGAAUGAUACAGAGAAGAUUAGCACGGCCCCUGUGCAAGGAUGACAUGCAGAUUCAUGAGGGGUUCCAUAUUUUU
rnacentral:snRNA from 1 species